rnacentral:lncRNA from 1 species
UUUCUCUUGUUUGUUUUACUUCUCGCUCUCGAUUUGUUUCUCUCCUCUUCGUCGUUUCUUCUUCUCAUGUUUUCUCUCCCUUCUCCUUCUCCUCUACCGCCUCUACAUUGUUAUCGUGUUCUACUUUUUUACCUUAAACACACUUUUGUGACACUGGCUUCAAUAUGAUAUAGAUCGCUAAGGUAAGGCUACGGGAGUGCGCAUGGCCGCGGAUGGUGAUGGCGAUUGCGAUGAAGACAAGAGCGCCAACGGAUUUGAGGUCAGUGGGGAAAGAGAGCGAGUCAGAGUGGUUGCUGUGAUAGGGCAAGGGAGGAGGCGCGCUAGCAUAUAAAGAUGUGAAGAUUAAAAAAAAUAAUAAGAAAAAAUAAUAAAAAG